CCCAAACCCUCCUCGAUUCCGCCCAACGCAGAUCCAUUUCCUCCUCCACUUGUUCUUUACCCGAUAAAGCGCCGGUUUCCCCACCCAGAAAUCUAAUUGAAUCUGCUCAUCGCCGCUCCAUAUCCAAAUCUACGUGUUCCCUCGAGAAAAAAACCCUUGAGUACUAACUCAAACGGCUGGCAUAAGGAAGAAGAUGAAGCUCGGGAACUUAGCCUCAACGGGUUCCUUAAGGAGCAGAGAAUAAAGAUUGAGAAGAUUUUGAACGGUGAUAUUAAUUCCAAGGCCAAGAUUGUGCUCUCUGGACCUUCAAACAGCACGAGUUCAAUGGUGGCAGCUCUGUGCUACGCGUGGCUGUUAGAAAAUAGGG